rnacentral:lncRNA from 1 species
GGGAAUGGACAGUAAAUGUGAGGUAGAAUUGAGAUUAUUUCAAUUUUAUGUAUUAGGGAAAAAUUAGAGUAAAUGUGUCUUUAAUAUUUAUAAAUUAGCCAUAUAAAUUGUAGGUGUAAUUUCAUACUUUAGUACUUUUCAGAUAGAGGUAUGGAAUUAGCAUUUUUAGAAUAAGUAAAUUAUGUGGGAAAUAUUGAAUUUUUAAUAGUUUAGUUAUUUGUAAAUUAAAUAUGAGCUAAAUAAUUUGUGUAUUUCUAUGUAAACUUUCAGCAAUAUUUGAGUUUGUCGUAGUGUAUCAUCUUGUUUGCUUCUGAAAUUUUAAUUUGUGUAUUUCUAUCUAAAAUUUUAGCAAUGUGAUGGAUAAUUUUAUUGUAAUCCAUUUUAUUGAUG